rnacentral:tRNA from 1 species
GGGCCGGUCGUCUAGUCUGGAUGCGUGUAUGCAGGAAAGUUAGGAUACCUGCCUGACACGCAGGUGGUCGAGGGUUCAAGUCCCUCCCGGCCCACCA